GUAGUAUUCCCUCCAUCCCAAAAUUAUUGUCUUACAUUUGUUUAGAUACGGAUGUAUCUAACACUAAAAUGUAACUAGAUACAUCCGUAUUUAGACAAAUUUAAGACAAGAAUUUUGGGACAAAGGGAGUACAAA
rnacentral:pre_miRNA from 1 species